rnacentral:rRNA from 1 species
AAGAGAAGUCGUAACAAGGUUUCCGUAGGUGAACCUGCGGAAGGAUCAUUGAAUCGAUCGAACCAACCCGGCGACCCGUGCCCGAUCCCGGAAGGCGUUCUUUCGGGUGGCCGGUUCGAAAGGGGAAACCGGCCUUCGGAGUCGAAGGCAGGCCCCCGAUCGAGCCGGCUGCGACCCUUUCCUAAGGAAAGGGCUCCGUGGUGGCUUUUUCGAACUUGGAAAAUCGCCCUGAAGCACCGCGGACUCGGCAGAAAUGCUGGGCCGUCCAGGAAAAGAAAGGACAACUCUCAACAACGGAUAUCUUGGCUCCCGUAACGAUGAAGAACGCAGCGAAAUGCGAUACGUAGUGUGAAUUGCAGAAUUCCGUGAAUCAUCGAGUCUUUGAACGCAAAUCGCGCUCGAGGCUUCGGCCGAGAGCAUGUCUGCCUCAGCGUCGUCUCAACACGUCUUUUCGAUCGAUUCGGGUCGAAAGGGGAGCUGGUCGUUUCGGUGCUGGCCAUCGAAUCGGUCGAAAUGUAGAAGGGCCCUCCCCCUCAUCGAAAGGGCUUCGAAAGGUGGGUUGCCUUCGGGCGAUUCCUGUCGAAGCUCGAGGGAGAGGCGCCCUGCAGCCGGAGAAAGCAUCCUAGACUUUGACCUGAGUUCAGGCAAGAUCACCCGCUGAACUUAAGCAUAUCAAUAAGCGGAGGAAAAGAAACUAACCAGGAUUCCCCUAGUAGCG